AAGAAAAAUGGCAACUUUCUGAUUUCUCUGCCCUCUCCCAAGAUGGCUUCCUGAACGAUCUUGGGCCUUGGACUGGAGCCUCUUCCGGGCUUGGCAGGGGCGGGGUUCAUUGAGCAAAGCCUUGCGUGCUAGCGCCCGCGACGGAGACGCGCCUCAGGGCGCAGGCGCGGAGAGGAGGUGGGGGAGGAGGGAAAGCGGCGAGUAAGAUGGAAGAUGAGGAGGUCGCUGAGAGCUGGGAGGAGGCGGCAGACAGCGGGGAUUGAGAAAGGAAUGUUAUCUACUAAGGAGGUGCGUAGCCGACACCAGAAGAAAAGUGGAUCUUUACCGUCGAGCAGAAUCCGCCUGCCAAUGCAGGGGAAACGGGUUCGAGCCCUGGUCCGGGAAGAUCCCACAUGCCGUGGAGCAACUAAGCCCGUAUGCCACAACGACUGAGCCUGUGCUCUAGAGCCCGUGAGCCACAACUAGUGAGUCCGCGUGCUGCAACUACUGAAGCCCGUGUGCCUAGAGCCCGUGCUCUGCAACAAGAGAAGCCACUGCAGUGAGAAGCCUGCACACUGCAAUGAAGAGUAUCCCCUGCUCGCCGCAACCAGAGGAAACCCGUGUGCAGCAACGAAGACCCAACGCAGCCAAGUGAAGAUUUGGAAUUUACCAGUGAUUUUGGCCAAUGACUGCAUAUCUUUGGCAACUUCGACAAGAACAGUUUUAGUGGGACAGUGGGGCUUAGAGAGCUGGAUUGAAGUGAGGUGGUGAAUGUUACCCAGAGCAGGGCCUGAGCCAGACAUUGGGCGCUGGAUGAGUGCUAGUUGCUGUUAUGCCAACAUGACAAAUAGGACCCAGCAGAGUAGGUCUUGCACCUCAAUACACACCAUGCCUCUUGGGUCCUUAAGGCACUCAGUUACUAGUUGCCGACAGAUGAUAUGUACAGCAGAGGCACAUCUUAUUCUAAGGUUAGAUCUAAAGCAGUGUUGUCCAACAGAAGUAUCAUGCAAGCCACAUAGGUAAUGUAAAAU